UAGGGAAUCUUCCACAAUGGACGCAAGUCUGAUGGAGCAACGCCGCGUGAGUGAAGAAGGUUUUCGGAUCGUAAAGCUCUGUUGUUGGUGAAGAAGGAUAGAGGUAGUAACUGGCCUUUAUUUGACGGUAAUCAACCAGAAAGUCACGGCUAACUACGUGCCAGCAGCCGCGGUAAUACGUAGGUGUCAAGCGUUGUCCGGAUUUAUUGGGCGUAAAGCGAGCGCAGGCGGAAGAAUAAGUCUGAUGUGAAAGCCCUCGGCUUAACCGAGGAACUGCAACGGAAACUGUUUUUCUUGAGUGCAGAAGAGGGGAGUGGAAUUCCAUGUGUAGCGGUGGAAAGCGUAGAUAUAUGGAAGAACAACAGUGGCGAAGGCGACUCUCUGGUAUGCAACUGACGCUGAGGCUCGAAAGCAUGGGUAGCGAACAGG
rnacentral:rRNA from 1 species